GACGAACGCUGGCGGCGUGCCUAAUACAUGCAAGUAGAACGCUGAAGGAGGAGCUUGCUUCUCUGGAUGAGUUGCGAACGGGUGAGUAACGCGUAGGUAACCUGCCUGGUAGCGGGGGAUAACUAUUGGAAACGAGAGCUAAUACCGCAUAAGAGGAGAUGUUGCAUGACAUUUGCUUAAAAGGUGCAAUUGUAUCUCUACCAGAUGGACCUGCGUUGUAUUAGCUAGUGGGUGGGGUAACGGCUCACCAAGGCGACGAUACAUAGCCGACCUGAGAGGGGGGUCGGCCACCCUGGGACUGGGACACGGCCCAGACUCCUACGGGGGGCAGCAGUAGGGGAUCUUCGGCAAUGGACGGAAGUCUGACCGAGCCACGCCGCGUGGGUGAAGAAGGUUUUCGGAUCGUAAAGCUCUGUUGUAAGGGAAGGACGAGUGUGAGAGUGGAAAGUUCACACUGUGACGGUAUCUUACCAGAAAGGGACGGCUAACUACGUG
rnacentral:rRNA from 1 species